UACGGAGGGUGCAAGCGUUGUCCGGAAUUACUGGGCGUAAAGAGUUCGUAGGCGGUUUGUCGCGUCGUGUGUGAAAACCAGCAGCUCAACUGUUGGCUUGCAGGCGAUACGGGGAGACUUGAGUACUGCAGGGGAGACUGGAAUUCCUGGUGUAGCGGUGGAAUGCGCAGAUAUCAGGAGGAACACCGGUGGCGAAGGCGGGUCUUUGGGCAGCAACUGACGCUGAGGUACGAAAGCGUGGGUAGCGAACAGG
rnacentral:rRNA from 1 species